rnacentral:rRNA from 1 species
CUAUAACCUUUUCUCGUUCUUCGGAACACCCUAUAGCUGUUUGCGUAUUCGCGUACGUUCAAGCACUAUGUAUACACAUGAAACGAACGACUAUGUAGAGGUUUCUAUGCGCUAGUUGAGUUGACGUUGGUCGUGUCAACAAAUGAUACUAGUCGGCUGCUGUUAUCCUUCGGGAAGACGGCGUAGGAUUGAAAAGCCCGAGAGGCUGCCUCUACAAACCCUUAUUAUUAUUUUAUUUUUAUGUAACAAUAUAUAAGUUACUCCGGUGGAUCACUUGGCUCACGGGUCGAUGAAAAACGCAGUGAAUUGCGAUAAUAAGUACGAAUUACAGAUAUUAUGAGUACCAUGUUUUUGAAUGCAUAUUGCGCUCUUAAGCUUUGCUUUUGAGCUUAUCCGAUUCAGGGUGUGUUGUAAAACUUAUGUAGCAGCAGGUCUUGUUUUAACGCUGUUGCCCAAGUUCGUAUUGGCCUCCAAUUGGCCCUUGUGCUGGCUUUACGCAACAUACGCAAUCCUCGUGAUUGUCGCUUUGCGGCGUGUGUUCGUUUUCGUAACGGGCUAAACUGUAAGAUACGAAGUAAUGGCUGAAAAUCGUUACAAGUGCUUGACUUUGCUUUUGCCCUUGAUUGACGGUCUUGCUUUGUAGGGCGGCGUGAAAACGUUGCACUUGCAGGCGUCGUUUAAGUGUUUGAUUAUAACCACCUGAGUUGGGUAUGAUUACCUGCUGAACUUAAGCAUAUCAGUAAGCAGAGGAAAAGAA